rnacentral:tRNA from 1 species
GGUGCUUGAGCGGCAAAGGCGCGCCGUCGUAACCCGCGAUGAAGCCGCACAACGCGAUGCGGCCAUGCGCGUUCAUCCGCGCGAGCGUCGC